rnacentral:rRNA from 1 species
GAUGAACGCUCGCGUCGUGCCUAAUACAUGUAAGUCUAGCGAACGGACUAGAAUCUUGCUUCUCUUAUGUUAGCGGCUGACGGGUUAGUAACACGUGGAUAACCUAUCUAUAAGACUGGGAUAACUUCUUUGAACCGGAGCUAAUACCGGAUAAUAUUUUUUACCGCCUGGUUCAACAGUGUAAGACGGUCUUGCUGUCACUUAUAGAUGGCACCUCUUUGUAUUAUCUCGUUGGUAAGGUAACGGCUUACCAAGGCAACGAUGCAUAGCCGACCUGAGAGGGUGAUCGGCCACACUGGAACUGAGACACGGUCAAGACUCCUACGGGAGGCAGCAGUAGGGAAUCUUCAGCAAUGGGCGAAAGCCUGACGGAGCAAAGCCGCGUGAGUGAUGAAGGUCUUCGGAUCGUAAAACUCUGUUAUUAGGGAAGAACAUAUGUGUAAGUAACUGUGCACAUCUUGACGGUACCUAAUCGGAAAGCCACGGCUAACUACGUG